rnacentral:rRNA from 1 species
GAUGAACGCUGGCGGCGUGCUUAACACAUGCAAGUCGAACGAAGCACCUUGAUUCGAUUCUUCGGAUGAAGAUCUUGGUGACUGAGUGGCGGACGGGUGAGUAACGCGUGGGUAACCUGCCUCAUACAGGGGGAUAACAGUUAGAAAUGACUGCUAAUACCGCAUAAGACCACAGCACCGCAUGGUGCAGGGGUAAAAACUCCGGUGGUAUGAGAUGGACCCGCGUCUGAUUAGGUAGUUGGUGGGGUAACGGCCUACCAAGCCGACGAUCAGUAGCCGACCUGAGAGGGGGACCGGCCACAUUGGGACUGAGACACGGCCCAAACUCCUACGGGAGGCAGCAGUGGGGAAUAUUGCACAAUGGGGGAAACCCUGAUGCAGCGACGCCGCGUGAGCGAUGAAGUAUUUCGGUAUGUAAAGCUCUAUCAGCAGGGAAGAAAAUGACGGUACCUGACUAAGAAGCACCGGCUAAAUACGU